GAAAAGUUGGGAUAUUUUACGUGAUUUGGGGUGGGAUUUAUUGGGGUGGGACUUGGAUUUUUUGGGCGAUUCGGGUGAUUUUUGGGGCGGGAUUUUGGUGCGAUUCGGAGCACUUUGGGCUGGAUUCUGGGGAUUUUGGGGCGGGAUUUUUUGUGCGAUUCGGGUGAUUUUUGGGGCGGGAUUUUUCAGAGAUUCAGGUGAUUUUUGGGGCAGGAUUUUUCGGUGAUUCGGAGCACUUUGGGCUGGAUUCGGGGGAUUUUGGGGUGGGAUUUUUUGGGCGAUUCGGGUGAUUUUGGGAUGGGAUUUUUUGGGCGAUUCGGGUGAUUUUUGGGGCGGGAUGUUUUGGCGAUUCGGGGGAUUUUGGGGUGGGAUUUUUUGGGCGAUUCGGGUGAUUUUUGGGGUGGAUUUGGGGGUUUUUUGGGCAGGAUUUUUGUGCGAUUCGGGUGAUUUUUGGGGUGGGACUUUUUGGCGAUUUGGGUGAUUUUUGGAGCAGGAUUUUUCAGCGAUUCGGGGGAUUUUUGGAGCGGGAUUUUUCAGCGAUUCGGGGGAUUUUUGGAGCGGGAUUUUUCAGCGAUUCGGGUGAUUUUUGGGGCAGGAUUUUUCAGCGAUUCGGAGCACUUUGGGCUGGAUUCGGGGAUUUUGGUCCCGUACCUGAUCUCGAAGUCGAUGUUGGCCUCGAAGGGCGGCGCCGGCUGCACGCCCAGCGCGCCCCAGCGCAGCCCCCGCUCCAGCAGCCGCCGCGCCGGGGCCACCAGGCGGGGCAGGGAGACCCCCACCCUGACAAAGAGCGCCUGGAGACCCCCCUGGAACCCCAAAAUACCUGCGGGGGGCAAAGGGCACCGUCACCCCAAAAAAAACCCCGAAAAA
rnacentral:lncRNA from 1 species